rnacentral:lncRNA from 1 species
CGGCAGUGCAGAACCUGGGAAAGUCAUGGCCUUAGGAAUGUCCUCUGAUGAAGAAGAAUCUGCAGGCUUAUAAUAUUGUGUGGAAUGUUGCUGUGUUGAAAAGCAGUAGUUGUGUGUGCUUCUCCGCUUCGGUCUGGAUCAGCAGGGCUGAGGCAGUGGGUGUACAUAUUACAGAAGUGUGAGCAGAGACCAGAAGCCAAAGGCACAUCUGCUUACAAAUAGCACUGGACCAGGAAUGGAAGUCUCAUUCAAAUAUUGGUAGUCAGCUCA